AACUCAAUAGUUCCCAUUUUAGAAAGCCCGGGUAUAGGAUCUAUAUCUACGCACCGCAUGCCGGCAGACGGUUACAGGGGGGCUGGGGCCCAGACAACAAAAGUGGUCAACAGUCGUACUGUGGGGGCCACAAAACCGUGUGACUAUCCCGCGCCGUGGUAGUGGUGACCCGCUGCUAGCGGCGACAGGUGGCACAUGAGCGCUCAUAGGCAGGGCAGUCUAUUCCCGCGCACACACAUCUCACGGGUUCCUACCCCCGUGGUCGGUGCCUCUUUACCCUAUUCCCACGCCUCCAUCUCUCCCAGGACAAAAGCUUCUCAUUCUUGUUCUAAUGAAGUUAUGAUUUUAAUUAUUCCAACUUGUCACAAAAUGGAGCAUCUGAAUCAACAUUUAGCUUAGCCACUAUUUUUGGCUAUAUGAGGGGAAAGCGUCAUUUUUUUCCUGUGCCAGUUCAUUUGUGUGUUCAUUGUUUGUAGGUUUUUUGUGGUGAUUUAUGUUUAGGUUUUAGCAGAUAAUCAAUUCUAUUUGGACUCAAUGAAUCUAUUCAAAUGAAGCAAGUACAUGGUGGUUUGUGGUGAUGUUAAGUGUUGGAUUUAUAACUGGAAAACUAUUAAACUUUGGGGCAUUAUCAAACUUUGUGGUCAUUGGGUUAAAAAUAUUCUAUUCAUAGCAAAAAUCCACCCCUGCUUAAACAAAAUCUUGUUUCCUAGUGGGCCAAUGAAUUAAUUGUUUCCUGUUACUAUUUUCCUUUCUCUUUCUUGAUUAUCUGAAUUCAUGAAAAUAACUUCAUAAAUUUUGGUUGUGGGUACAUUGCAGGAAACUUCAAAGUCAGAGCAAUUUAAUUGUAUAUGCAAGUUUGUAUAAACUAAUGUAUUUAAUUUCCAUGACAUCUCAUCAAGAUGAAUGUUUGGUGUAGCCAACCAUGGCUAAUGAUAGGUGCUGCACUACCGGAAACUGGAUAGUAUUCCAUGACCAUAGUUUUCUAAUAAAGAGUGCAAAAAAAUGUGUCUUUGGAUGAGAAUGUGUCAUGACUGUUAUAUAUAGUCUC
rnacentral:lncRNA from 1 species